CGAGCGGCGAACGGGUGAGUAACACAUCGGAACGUACCCUAUCGUGGGGGAUAACACAUUGAAAGAUGUGCUAAUACCGCAUACGCCCUGAGGGGGAAAGCGGGGGAUCGCAAGACCUCGCGCGAGAGGAGCGGCCGAUGUCGGAUUAGCUAGUUGGUGAGGUAAAGGCUCACCAAGGCGACGAUCCGUAGCUGGUCUGAGAGGAUGAUCAGCCACACUGGAACUGAGACACGGUCCAGACUCCUACGGGAGGCAGCAGUGGGGAAUUUUGGACAAUGGGGGCAACCCUGAUCCAGCCAUUCCGCGUGAGUGAAGAAGGCCUUCGGGUUGUAAAGCUCUUUCGGCAGGAACGAAACGGUGGGAGUUAAUACCUUCUGCUAAUGACGGUACCUGAAGAAGAAGCACCGGCUAACUACGUGCCAGCAGCCGCGGUAAUACGUAGGGUGCGAGCGUUAAUCGGAAUUACUGGGCGUAAAGCGUGCGCAGGCGGUUUUGUAAGACAGAUGUGAAAUCCCCGGGCUUAACCUGGGAACUGCGUUUGUGACUGCAAGACUAGAGUGCGGCAGAGGGGGGUGGAAUUCCACGUGUAGCAGUGAAAUGCGUAGAGAUGUGGAGGAACACCGAUGGCGAAGGCAGCCCCCUGGGCCGGCACUGACGCUCAUGCACGAAAGCGUGGGUAGCAAACAGGAUUAGAUACCCUGGUAGUCCACGCCCUAAACGAUGCCAACUAGGUGUUGGGGGAAGGAGACUUCCUUAGUACCGUAGCUAACGCGUGAAGUUGGCCGCCUGGGGAGUACGGUCGCAAGAUUAAAACUCAAAGGAAUUGACGGGGACCCGCACAAGCGGUGGAUGAUGUGCAUUAAUUCGAUGCAACGCGAAAAACCUUACCUACCCUUGAC
rnacentral:rRNA from 1 species